CCUACGGGAGGCAGCAGUGGGGAAUAUUGGGCAAUGGGCGAAAGCCUGACCCAGCAACGCCGCGUGAAGGAAGAAGGCUUUCGGGUUGUAAACUUCUUUUGACAGGGAAGAGCAGAAGACGGUACCUGUCGAAUAAGCCACGGCUAACUACGUGCCAGCAGCCGCGGUAAUACGUAGGUGGCAAGCGUUGUCCGGAUUUACUGGGUGUAAAGGGCGUGUAGCCGGGCUGACAAGUCAGAUGUGAAUUCCGGGGGCUAAACGGCCGAACUGAAUUUGAAACUGUUGGUCUUGAGUAUCGGAGAGGCAGGAGGAAUUCCUAGUGUAGCGGUGAAAUGCGUAGAUAUUAGGAGGAACACCGAUUGCGAAGGCAGCCCACGAAACUGCCACUGACAUUGAUGCUCGAAAGUGUGGGUAUCAAACAGGAUUAGAUACCCCUGUAGUC
rnacentral:rRNA from 1 species